CCCUACGGGGGGCAGCAGUGGGGGAUAUUGCACAAUGGGGGAAACCCUGAUGCAGCGACGCCGCGUGGGUGAAGAAGCGCCUCGGCGCGUAAAGCCCUGUCAGCAGGGAAGAAAAUGACGGUACCUGAAGAAGAAGCCCCGGCUAACUACGUGCCAGCAGCCGCGGUAAUACGUAGGGGGCAAGCGUUAUCCGGAUUUACUGGGUGUAAAGGGGGCGCAGACGGCGAUGCGAGCCAGGAGUGACAGCCCGGGGCUCAACCCCGGG
rnacentral:rRNA from 1 species